GACGGGGGCCCGCACAAGCGGUGGAGUAUGUGGUUUAAUUCGAUGCAACGCGAAGAACCUUACCUGGUCUUGACAUCCCAGAAAUCCCUUGGAAACUUGGGAGUGCUUCCAUUAGGAAGAAUCUGGAGACAGGUGCUGUAUGGCUGUCGUCAGCUCGUGUCGUGAGAUGUUGGGUUAAGUCCCGCGACGAGCGCAACCCUUGCCUUUAGUUGCCAGCAGUUCGGCUGGGCACUCUAAAGGGACUGCCGGUGUUAAACCGGAGGAAGGUGGGGAUGACGUCAAGUCCUCAUGGCCUUUAUGACCAGGGCUACACACGUACUACAAUGGCCGAUACAAAGGGCAGCGACAUUGCGAAAUGAAGCCAAUCCCAUAAAUUCGGUCUCAGUCCGGAUUGGAGUCUGCAACUCGACUCCAUGAAGUUGGAAUCGCUAGUAAUCGCGGAUCAGCACGCCGCGGUGAAUACGUUCCCGGGCCUU
rnacentral:rRNA from 1 species